UACGUAGGGACCAAGCGUUGUUCGGAUUUACUGGGCGUAAAGGGCGCGUAGGCGGCAAUUCAAGUCAUCUGUGAAAUCUCCGGGCUUAACUCGGAACGGUCAGAUGAUACUGCUUUGCUCGAGUGCGGAAGGGGCAAUCGGAAUUCUUGGUGUAGCGGUGAAAUGCGUAGAUAUCAAGAGGAACACCUGAGGUGAAGACGGGUUGCUGGGCCGACACUGACGCCGAAGCGCGAAAGCCAGGGGAGCAAACGGG
rnacentral:rRNA from 1 species